rnacentral:other from 1 species
UGUUUCCUGGGAUGACCGAAAACCUGGUAUUUUGAACCUACACCGUUAAUAUGGGAGUUCUAUAUCCUGGAGUUAAUGUCAGGCCUCAUUUUUUUCCCUUUGGGACAGAGGAAGGCAGAGGUUCCAGUGAGGACACCCACCUGGCAUGAGCUAGGGCGUCAAAAAUCAGGGAAACGGCAUUUUGGGUAACAA